AUUGAACGCUGGCGGCGUGCUUAACACAUGCAAGUCGAUCGGUAACGCGGGGGCAACCCUGGCGACGAGAGGCGGACGGGUGAGGAACGCUUGGGAAUCUGCCCUUCAGCGGGGGACAACCCGGGGAAACUCGGGCUAAUACCGCAUACGCUCUAUGGAGGAAAGCCGGGGACCGCAAGGCCUGGCACUGAAGGAUGAGCCCAAGCCGGAUUAGCUAGUUGGCGGGGUAACGGCCCACCAAGGCGACGAUCCGUAGCUGGUCUGAGAGGACGAUCAGCCACACUGGGACUGAGACACGGCCCAGACUCCUACGGGAGGCAGCAGUGGGGAAUAUUGGACAAUGGGGGAAACCCUGAUCCAGCGACGCCGCGUGGGUGAAGAAGGCCUGCGGGUUGUAAAGCCCUUUCGGUAGGGACGAAAGCUCUCGACCUAACACGUCGGGAGGAUGACUUAACCUACAAAAGAAGCACCGGCUAACUCUGUG
rnacentral:rRNA from 1 species